CGUGCGCACCGAGGCCGGAAGCGACGUGUUGUAGGUGGCUGUCAAGUUUUGUUUUGUUUUGUUUUGUUUUGUUUUUGUUUUUUUUCGAGACAGGAUUUCUCUGUGGCUUUGGAGGCUGUCCUGGAACUCGCUCUGUAGACCAGGCUGGCCUCGAACUCAGAGAUCCGCCUGCCUCUGCUUCCCGAGUGCUGGGAUUAAAGGCGUGAGCCACCAACGCCGGGCUGGCUGUCCAGUUUUUUAAUGUCGACUUUGGUUUUAACUUGGAUCUGCUUCCGAGUAUCGAUAGAUCAGCGUUCUGCUACAGUGUUUGUAUAUCUGUGUGAAGUGUGAAGUGUCAGAUCCAGGAGUUAACGACAGUUGUGAACUGCCAUAUGGGUGCUGGGAAUUGAAGCCAGAUCUUCUGGAAAAGCAGUUGGUGCUCUUAACAGCUGAGCCAUCUUUCCAGCCCUAAGUUCAUUGGAUUUUAGCAAUAGAAUCAGCCCACAGGAUCUACUAACAAGCUGAUCCCAAAGUUCUGAGCUGGAGUAGCUGUCAAAAUGGCAAUUUUCCCCCUUUCUUCGCAACUGAUGUUUCUAAAACUUAGGAAUCUUAAUUUUUGGAGACAUGAUGGAGACAGCAACAGAGUACAAGAUGCUAGUGCAGUGCAAAGUGGCUCCGGGUCCAUCCAGAGUGCCUGUUUUUGCAUACUGGCCAAGCAACGUUCAGUCACUAGAUGACUUACAUUUCUCUCUGUACCUGUCCCCUCCUCUGUAACAGAUCCACUCGACACUGAUGGGAGGCUUAAGUAACUUUGUGUGGGCAAAACAAAUGUGUGGCAAGUGGUUAGCUAGCUGUUAUUGCUUCAACCCUUCGUCACUACUUAGGUCCAGAUAAAACAUCUAUAGAUUGCAGAAAAACAUGUUUUGAAGCCAUGGGAUUGAAUCCAAGGCAUUGUGAAUGCUGGGCAAUAGGUCACUAAAAUACAUCCACAGCCCCAAA